UACGUAGGGUGCAAGCGUUAAUCGGAAUUACUGGGCGUAAAGCGUGCGCAGGCGGUUGUGCAAGACAGAUGUGAAAUCCCCGGGCUUAACCUGGGAAUUGCAUUUGUGACUGCACGGCUAGAGUGUGUCAGAGGGGGGUAGAAUUCCACGUGUAGCAGUGAAAUGCGUAGGUAUGUGGAGGAAUACCGAUGGCGAAGGCAGCCCCCUGGGAUAACACUGACGCUCAUGCACGAAAGCGUGGGGAGCAAACAGG
rnacentral:rRNA from 1 species